rnacentral:ncRNA from 1 species
CGUCGGAGAUUUGAGAGGAUCUGCUCCUAGUACGAGAGGACCGGAGUGGACGUACCUCUGGUGUUCCGGUUGUCACGCCAGUGGCAUUGCCGGGUAGCUAAGUACGGACGGGAUAACCGCUGAAAGCAUCUAAGCGGGAAGCCUUCCUCAAGAUGAGAUCUCCCUGGGCACUUGAUGCCCCUGAAGGGCCGUUGAAGACGACAACGUUGAUAGGCGGGGUGUGAAAGCGCAGUAAUGUGUGAAGCUAACCCGUACUAAUUGCCCGU